GGUCGGGUCCCGCGCAACGGGUGGUCGUGAACCCCGCCAGGUCCGGAAGGAAGCAACGGUAAGCGAACUCCCCCGUGUGCCGCGGAUCUCCUGGCCGCG
rnacentral:SRP_RNA from 1 species